rnacentral:rRNA from 1 species
UACAGAGGUCUCAAGCGUUGUUCGGAUUCAUUGGGCGUAAAGGGUGCGUAGGCGGCGCGGUAAGUCGGGUGUGAAAUCUUGGAGCUUAACUCCGAAACUGCAUUCGAUACUGCCGUGCUUGAGGACUGGAGAGGAGACUGGAAUUUACGGUGUAGCGGUGAAAUGCGUAGAUAUCGUAAGGAAGACCAGUGGCGAAGGCGGCACGCUGGACCUCUUCUGACGCGUGAGGCGCGAAAGCCAGGGGAGCAAACGGG